AUUGAACGCUGGCGGCAGGCCUAACACAUGCAAGUCGAAUGGUAACAGGAAACAGCUUGCUGUUUCGCUGACGAGUGGCGGACGGGUGAGUCAUGUCUGGGAUACUGCCUGAUGGAGGGGGAUAACUACUGGAAACGGUAGCUAAUACCGCAUAACGUCGCAAGACCAAAGAGGGGGACCUUCGGGCCUCUUGCCAUCAGAUGUGCCCAGAUGGGAUUAGCUAGGAGGUGGGGUAACGGCUCACCUAGGCUACGAUCCCUAGCUGAUCUGAGAGGAUGACCGGCCACACGGGAACUGAGACACGGUCAAGACUCCUACGAGAGGCAGCAGUGGGGAAUAUUGCACAAUGGGCGCAAGCCUGAUGCAGCCAUGCCGCGUGUAUGAAGAAGGCCUUCGGGUUGUAAAGUACGUUCAGCGGGGAGGAAGGGAGUAAAGUUAAUACCUUUGCUCAUUGACGUUACCCGCAGAAGAAGCACCGGCUAACUCCGUG
rnacentral:rRNA from 1 species